rnacentral:rRNA from 1 species
AGUGAACGCUGGCGGUAGGCCUAACACAUGCAAGUCGAACGGCAGCACAGUAAGAGCUUGCUCUUACGGGUGGCGAGUGGCGGACGGGUGAGGAAUACAUCGGAAUCUACUUUUUCGUGGGGGAUAACGUAGGGAAACUUACGCUAAUACCGCAUACGACCUACGGGUGAAAGCAUGGGAUCUUCGGACCUUGCGCGAUUGAAUGAGCCGAUGUCGGAUUAGCUAGUUGGCGGGGUAAAGGCCAACCAAGGCGACGCUCCGUAGCUGGUCUGAGAGGCUGAUCAGCCACACUGGAACUGAAACACGGUCCAGACUCCUACGGGAGGCAGCAGUGGGGAAUAUUGGACAAUGGGCGCAAGCCUGAUCCAGCCAUACCGCGUGGGUGAAGAAGGCCUUCGGGUUGUAAAGCCCUUUUGUUGGGAAAGAAAAGCAGCAGGUUAAUACCCCGCUGUUCUGACGGUACCCAAAGAAUAAGCACCGGCUAACUUCGUG